rnacentral:sRNA from 3 species
GCGCCAGCGAGAGAGCGUUGCCGCAGGCAACGACCCGAAGGGCGAAGCGCGCAGCGCUGAGUAAUCCUUCCCCCACCACCA